rnacentral:rRNA from 1 species
GAUGAACGCUGGCGGCGUGCCUAAUACAUGCAAGUCGAGCGAACAGACGAGGAGCUUGCUCCUCUGACGUUAGCGGCGGACGGGUGAGUAACACGUGGAUAACCUACCUAUAAGACUGGGAUAACUUCGGGAAACCGGAGCUAAUACCGGAUAAUAUAUUUAACCGCAUGGUUCAAUAGUGAAAGACGGUUUUGCUGUCACUUAUAGAUGGAUCCGCGCCGCAUUAGCUAGUUGGUAAGGUAACGGCUUACCAAGGCAACGAUGCGUAGCCGACCUGAGAGGGUGAUCGGCCACACUGGAACUGAGACACGCUCCAGACUCCUACGGGAGGCAGCAGUAGGGAAUCUUGCGCAAUGAGCGAAAGCCUGACGGAGCAACGCCGCGUGAGUGAUGAAGGUCUUCGGAUCUUAAAACUCUGUUAUUAGGGAAGAACAAAUGUGUAAGUAAAUAUGCACGUCUUGACGGUACCUAAUCAGAAAGCCACGGCUAACUACGUG